rnacentral:rRNA from 1 species
AUUGAACGCUGGCGGCAUGCCUUACACAUGCAAGUCGAACGGCAGCACGGGAGCAAUCCUGGUGGCGAGUGGCGAACGGGUGAGUAAUAUAUCGGAACGUGCCCAGUCGUGGGGAUAACGUAGCGAAAGCUACGCUAAUACCGCAUACGAUCUAUGGAUGAAAGCGGGGGAUCGCAAGACCUCGCGCGAUUGGAGCGGCCGAUAUCAGAUUAGGUAGUUGGUGAGGUAAAGGCUCACCAAGCCGACGAUCUGUAGCUGGUCUGAGAGGACGACCAGCCACACUGGGACUGAGACACGGCCCAGACUCCUACGGGAGGGCAGCAGUGGGGGAAUUUUGGACAAUGGNGCAAGCUGAUCCAGCAAUGCCGCGUGCAGGAUGAAGGCC